rnacentral:rRNA from 1 species
ACAUUUUGUCAAGGUGCUGCAUGGUUGUCGUCAGCUCGUGCCGUGAGGUGUCGGGUCAAGUCCCAUAACGAGCGCAACCCCUAUUGUAGUUGCCAUCAGGUCAUGCUGGGGACUCUAACAAAACUGCCCGCGUAAGCGUGGAGGAAGGUGGGGGAUGACGUCAAAUCAGCACGGCCCUUACGUCCAGGGCUACACACGUGCUACAAUGGCCGGUACAGAGGGCAGCCACUUGGUGACAAGGAGCAAAUCUCAAAAGCCGGUCUCAGUUCGGAUCGGAGUCUGCAACUCGACUCCGUGAAGUUGGAUUCGCUAGUAAUCGUAGAUCAGCAAUGCUACGGUGAAUACGUUCCCGGGCCUU